rnacentral:lncRNA from 13 species
AUAUACAGCCAUGUGUCUCCAGUAUCCGGCAAGUCUCUGACAGAAUCAGAGAGAUCUUCUAGCACAAACCUGAAGGUUCGAACGAGAGGCAGCAGCAAAUCCUCAAGGUCUUGCACGGCCAAAUCAAGCUCCUCUCGUAAUGGGUAUGUUCAGUCAUUCCUAAAGAAACCGGUUUCACCUAUUUCAGGGUACAUAUAACCCAUUUUGUGAAAAUAUGUUUUGUUAUCUGUAUAACAGUUUACUCUUAAUGACCAGUUUAACUGAUUACUGAAUUAUGCAUUAAUGUGACUACAGUGUCUACUAUUGAAUAUGGAAUGCUGUAUUGUUUGCUUUGUAUUCUCAAAGGUCUCAGACAGUGUUGCCAAAUACUCAGGGAGAUGGUGAGUCUAUAUCAUCUGAGCCACUCAGUGACUUUUUUGGGAUCACUGAGGACAGUCUCCUCACUAGUGUCCAGGAUUCCUUCAAAGAGUCGCUGAACAAUGUCCUCUGUAUCCAAAGAGAGGGCCAGGUAGACACUCAAAGUCUAUCCCGGGUUAUUGUUGGAGAAGUGUCAAAGAAGGUCAAUUCCAUAAUCUCUGUGGCCAUCCAAACUCCCAUCUCUGGGCGAAUAUCCCCUGUCAUUUUUGCCAGUGGUGGUGUCUCCAGCACCAAGGUGGUUGAGGAGAUGGUGUCUGGCGUUUCCAACAUACUUCAGAUGUACAUUAAUGGGAAGAGUGUUGAGCAGAGUGUUGUUCUCAGAGAGGAUGGUGUUGAGGAGGAUAUGACACAUUUAACAGGACAGGUCAUGACAGCCCUCAGUGGCACUGUUUUGAACUUCAGCAAUAAGGAGGAAAAUGAUCCCGACAGGAGGGAACUGCUUUGUUUUGUUGCUGACCAUAUGAAGAUGCUUGCAUCUUGUAAAAGUUCUGAGGAGAUGCUAAAACAAGGAGAGAGCAACCUCAAUAUCAAAGGUGCCAAAUCUAGUCUUCGUCUGUCAACACAAAGUAUGGACAGACUACUCACUGAGGAGUUUCAGACCAAGGCCACUGAAUCGAUCCGGGAGAUCGUUAAAAGAUUCAGGGGUUGUACAUCAUGUUGGUCUGGCACUACAUCAUCUAGUCCAACUCCUAGGAUAGGUGAGAUCAGAGACCUUAUGAUCGACCCUGAAGCCUCUGAGUUGGUAAGUACCUUUGUUUCAGACAUGGACAAUCUUACCCAGUCUAUCAGGUCAUCCUGCUCUCCUGCACAGAGUGAGCAGAUCCUUCUUGAAAACCAUCAGAGUAAGAUCUGGUCUUACACUGUUGGUUGUUACUACAACAUGAAAAAUACGCUGAAGAGGCUUCUUACCUGUCCAGAAAAAGGGGAUCUCUCAAGUACAUUUGUGGAGAGCACAAGAGAUUCUUUCACAAUGGUUCCAACUUUGUGCCUGGAUGUCGGUCAUUCCAGUAAUGGUGAGGCUGACACAUCGGACUCCUUUUCUUGUAAACCACUUGUAAUAACGCCCUCAUCCAUGAAUGAACAAAAAGGACAAAGUGAGACCCCAAAACCCCUCUUGGCUCUCAAAACAUAUUUGCAAGACCAAGUCCUCCUUGACACCACAAAAGCGAUUGCCAGCCAGGUUCUAGUCUUGUAUAAGACUGAGGUGAUGGAGAAGUUCUCAUCUUCUGUUGGAGAGUGUGAUUCUGAAGAGUCUCUGGAGGCCAAUCUAUUUGUGGAUGGCAUCAUGUCUGACUUGAAUAAUUUCACCAGUUCUUGUUCCGCCUCACCAUCUGAGUUGUUACACAGUGAACAAUGUCUCUCCGAUCUCACUUUUCCACUUGGUCUGCAGGACAGCACCACCAACAGUGAAUCUACCCAGAGUCUUCCAGUUAUAAAUAUGACGAAACUCUCCAGUUUGUCUUUCCAGACAAAGGCUAGAAAGGCAGUGAGUGAAGCUCUGAGAUCUGUCAACCCCUUUACAACCAGCUUACCGGGAGACUCUGAAGCAUCUAAAUUACUGGACACCUUUGUAACAGAUGUGGAGACUAUUGUUCAGUCCAUGCAGGCACAUGAAUCUGAAAUUCUCAGAAUUUCAAAAGUGAGCACCCUUUCUGCUGCUCGUAUUAUAUAUCAUAGAUUUCGAGAAAUGCUGAGGCGGUUUCUCACUCCCUGCCAAGACUCUGUGAAGGUCAUCGAUGGUGUUACACCAAUACAUGACGAGACUCUCAAACAGGCUCCCAGUGAAAGUUUAGAUUCACAGGUGACUUGUAAUAGUGAUUCUCUUGAAAUCCAAGCGGACCUUCAAACCUGUACCAAGGAGGUCAUUAGUCAGAUCCUCACUGUGUAUCACUCUGAGGAAUCCAUGGAGGAAUGCCUCUCUAGUCUAAAAGGAGAUACAGAAGACCUGUCCAAGCUUUUGGAUGCCGUUGUUUCUCAGAUUGACGUCCUUUCCGCCUCCAAAUCAUAUUUAUAUGUUGAUGACUAUGCUGUCAAUACACAGGACAAUAUGCAUGGUGAGAUCAAUAAUGAUAUAGAGGAAGCAUCCUCUAGAAGUCUUAAAUCCACAGCCUUUGACAAACUAUGUACUGAGGAGUUUCAAACUAAAGCCUCACAUAUGGCUGGUGGGAUCCUUCGAUCAGGGUUGAUUGGCAUUGUAAAUACCAGCCUUGAUGGUAGAAGUGCAGACAUUUGUGCAGAGUCCAGUAAUGAUGGUGAUGAUAGAGAUGUCAAAAUCCUUCAGAAGAGUGGAACUCCAUCUUUAUUCACCUCUUCUCUGCACACCAAUUCUGCAGCAUCCAACAUCGUCAUAAGCAUCACUAAAGACCUUAAUAACUUCACCCAGAUGACUAGAAUGUCUGAUGCUUCAGUGUCUGGCCAGUUAGAAAGAUCCCUGUCAGCUUCAACCAUUCCUGUCAGUGUUCACAACGGGGCCAAUGUGAAAGGGAAGAUAAUUUGGCCAGGCACUGUUAACCUGUUCAAAAAUGUGUUCACCAAGGUCAAGGACUUUUUUGCCCAGCAACAACCGGUCCUCCUAGACAAUGUGGUUGAGGCCCCCAAACAUGCCGAAUCCAUAUGCAGAACAGCUACUUCUACACAAAUGACUGACAGUGAACAUGAGGGCAGCCAGACCAGCAUGGUAAAUUAUUCCAAAGCCUUAAUUAGUCAGAUUCUGAUGACAAUCCAGAGGAGAGUGUCUAUGUCAGAGAGGAUGAGCACCUCAGAGAAGGGCCUCUUGACUCGUUCCAUCGUGGGCUCCAUGUUGGAGGAUGUUGACAUGGUGAGAACUGAUGGACACGAGAUACACCGGCCAUCCUCCUCAAAGUCCUCCCUGUCCAUCACCUCUGCCAUGACCAGAGGGUCCCAGAGUGAUUUUACAAAUUCUCUUCCAGGCACUCCAGUCCCCAAUGAGUGGCCUGUUGAAAGCUAUUGUCCUAUCAUUAGGAGUUCGGUCAUUGAUAUGAGUGACUCCUCAACUCAUUCACAAGGGUCAACAAAUUACACAAGGCAAACCAUCUCUGCCAUAGUUGACACUGUUAUGGAGGUAAUUCCAAGAGAAGAUACGGAACACAUAGCCACUGCAGAUGAUGUCACUUCUUUUACAAGAAGACUUGCGAGACUCAGCCCCAGGGACGGUCUUCAGAACUUCUCACAUGAGCUCACUGACAAAGUUUAUGAGCUCAUAAAAAGUCACAACACCCCCCAGGCUCUUUUUGUGCCAGCUGGCAAGAGCGUGUCUGACUCUAUUCUUUUGAAGCUGAAGACAGGAUUGAAUGCUUCUGAAGAAUCCAGGGAGUUUCCAUCUGACCUUGUGUACUCCUUUGCUAAGGAGUCAAUAAAACGUCUGCUACAGCAGGUUAUCUUCUGGCUUCCUCCACCAUCACAAGGAUCCGGUUUCUGCCAAACUAUCAUCUCUGAUGGUUCUCUGCAGGACACAAGUCGGCUUAUCCCGAGCUCUUCUGCCAUCUCCAUUAGUUCCUCACAGGUUUACUGUGACACAAAGAGCCUUUUCACCAAUAUAAUGAUCAAUCAGGUCAUGGAUACCUGUUCUGUGGCCUCAAAUUCAUCAGUAAAAUUAUCAGAGUUGAUGAACAUAAUCAAUGGGUUGUCCCCAACUGAUGCUGGAACACUUGACUUUGACAGACCGGCUCUCAUGACCACUAGCCGUCAGUCUAGUGCCAAAUCAUUGCCUAGACCCUCUCUGUCUGGCAGCAGCGCACACAACGGUGGAACUGUGGAUAUUCAAGUUUUAGGAGAGGUGGAAUCCAAGAUGGACAACAAUGAUCUGGAGAUGUCUAGUGUCUCUGUGCAUCCAUCAACUCCAUCAGCCAUGGACUCUGAUACACAUGCAUCAUUUGACUCCACUAGCAAUGACUACACCACUUUGGUACUUUUACUGAUUAUUAGAUUGCUGUCAAUGAUCACCCCUAUCACAUUACUGGAAUCCUCUGACAUUGGUGAAACAUCAAGAGUUCUCACAAAGAGGAUUCUGUCUGAGUUCUGUGGCACCUCAGGCCUUGAACCAACUCAAGCCUACCCCCAGAAUCUGAAAAUCAAAAAGAUUUUCAAGGCUGUCUACAAGGGGCUUCUUCAAGAAUUUGGGUCAGAGAAGAUGCUCCAGGUUGCAAUGAAGUCAACGGAUUAUGCAUUUGACGAUGCCCUGGUCAAAUCAUUAACUAGGGAAUUGCUAACUAAAUGCAAUGAGGCUAGCUCUUCACCUCCCUCCAUGACCCAGUUGUCAUCACACAAUGCACUUGGCAGUGACGAGGUAGGUAAUUCUGGGCUUCCAACAACUGGUAGAAAGGAAAAGAAGAGAGGAAGAUUCAACGCUCUCUGUGGAUUCAACCCAAAGUGUACUCAGAAGGUCAACAAGAGGAACCACUGCACUCCAACACCUUCCCAGAACCAGACCCCUGCUAUCAGUGAAACAGCAAUUGUCAAUGAUCAAGAAUCCUGCCGAACAGAGAGUGUAUGCUCCAUCAAGAAGAAACCAAAGAAGCGUUCGCUAAUUUCUAGGAUGUUUUCAGCUAUAGGCAAAGCCUUGUCCAGUCCCUUUACUUCCUGCUAUAAAAAGAAGAGCACCUAA